UGAGGAAUAUUGGUCAAUGGGCGAGAGCCUGAACCAGCCAAGUAGCGUGAAGGAUGACUGCCCUAUGGAUUGUAAACUUCUUUUAUAGGGGAAUAAAGUGAGCCACGUGUGGCUUUUUGUAUGUACCCUAUGAAUAAGGAUCGGCUAACUCCGUGCCAGCAGCCGCGGUAAUACGGAGGAUCCGAGCGUUAUCCGGAUUUAUUGGGUUUAAAGGGAGCGUAGAUGGAUAUUUAAGUCAGUUGUGAAAGUUUGCGGCUCAACCGUAAAAUUGCAGUUGAUACUGGAUAUCUUGAGUGCAGUUGAGGCAGGCGGAAUUCGUGGUGUAGCGGUGAAAUGCUUAGAUAUCACGAAGAACUCCGAUUGCGAAGGCAGCCUGCUAAGCUGCAACUGACAUUGAGGCUCGAAAGUGUGGGUAUCAAACAGGAUUAGAUACCCUGGUAGUCCACACGGUAAACGAUGAAUACUCGCUGUUUGCGAUAUACUGCAAGCGGCCAAGCGAAAGCGUUAAGUAUUCCACCUGGGGAGUACGCCGGCAACGGUGAAACUCAAAGGAAUUGACGGGGGCCCGCACAAGCGGAGGAACAUGUGGUUUAAUUCGAUGAUACGCGAGGAACCUUACCCGGGCUUAAAUUGCAGAUGAAUUACGGUGAAAGCCGUAAGCCGCAAGGCAUCUGUGAAGGUGCUGCAUGGUUGUCGUCAGCUCGUGCCGUGAGGUGUCGGCUUAAGUGCCAUAACGAGCGCAACCCUUGUUGUCAGUUACUAACAGGUUCCGCUGAGGACUCUGACAAGACUGCCAUCGUAAGAUGUGAGGAAGGUGGGGAUGACGUCAAAUCAGCACGGCCCUUACGUCCGGGGCUACACACGUGUUACAAUGGGGGGUACAGAGGGCCGCUACCACGCGAGUGGAUGCCAAUCCCCAAAACCUCUCUCAGUUCGGACUGGAGUCUGCAACCCGACUCCACGAAGCUGGAUUCGCUAGUAAUCGCGCAUCAGCCACGGCGCGGUGAAUACGUUCCC
rnacentral:rRNA from 1 species